CCUACGGGGGGCAGCAGUGAGGAAUAUUGGUCAAUGGACGAGAGUCUGAACCAGCCAAGUAGCGUGAAGGAUGACUGCCCUAUGGGUUGUAAACUUCUUUUAUAUGGGAAUAAAAUGUUCCACGUGUGGGAUUUUGUAUGUACCAUAUGAAUAAGGAUCGGCUAACUCCGUGCCAGCAGCCGCGGUAAUACGGAGGAUCCGAGCGUUAUCCGGAUUUAUUGGGUUUAAAGGGAGCGUAGGUGGAUUGUUAAGUCAGUUGUGAAAGUUUGCGGCUCAACCGUAAAAUUGCAGUUGAAACUGGCAGUCUUGAGUACAGUAGAGGUGGGCGGAAUUCGUGGUGUAGCGGUGAAAUGCUUAGAUAUCACGAAGAACUCCGAUUGCGAAGGCAGUUCACUGGACUGUAACUGACAUUGAGGCUCGAAAGUGUGGGUAUCAAACAGGAUUAGAUACCCGUGUAGUC
rnacentral:rRNA from 1 species